GACGAACGCUGGCGGCGUGCUUAACACAUGCAAGUCGAACGGAAAGGCCCUGCUUUUGUGGGGUGCUCGAGUGGCGAACGGGUGAGUAACACGUGAGUAACCUGCCCUUGACUUUGGGAUAACUUCAGGAAACUGGGGCUAAUACCGGAUAGGAGCUCCUGCUGCAUGGUGGGGGUUGGAAAGUUUCGGCGGUUGGGGAUGGACUCGCGGCUUAUCAGCUUGUUGGUGGGGUAGUGGCUUACCAAGGUUUUGACGGGUAGCCGGCCUGAGAGGGUGACCGGCCACAUUGGGACUGAGGUACGGCCCAGACUCCUACGGGAGGCAGCAGUGGGGAAGAUUGCAGAAUGGGCGGAAGCCGGAUGCAGCAACGCCGCGGGCGGGAAGACGGCCUUCGGGUGGAAGAACGCUUUCGCAUGUAACGAAGCGUGAGUGACGGUAACGGGUAAAGAAGCACCCGCUAACUACGUG
rnacentral:rRNA from 1 species